rfam:Plasmodium falciparum 3D7 chromosome 8
UAAUUUUAACGACGGAUGUCUUGGUUCUUACAGCGAUGAAGGCCGCAGCAAAAUGCGAUAAGCAAUGAAAAUUGCAAUGACUGUGUAUCAUCAGAAUGCUGAAUAUAAAUUAUACCUUUAUCUUCUCACGAAGAUUGAAUAAGGUAUUCUUAUAUGGAAUGAUC